AUCACACGUAGAGAGAGAGAGAGAGAGAGAGAGAGGAGAGAACCGUUCGGUGAGAAGGAAGAAGAAGAAGAAGAAAAUCUUGGAGAUUUCUUCCUAGACUUGGAUUGAAGCCUAAUUUGGAGGUUCGGGUGACACGUGGAUACGAGGCAACGGGACGUAGAGUGGUGGCAUAUAGCUUUCUUUUGGACGUGCUAUGUAGAUAUGGACUUGUAGAUAGGGAGUUGCUCUUGGUAAACACUUUUUUUGACAUGUAAAAAUGCACAACUCUGGGUGGUUUGCAAUGUAGAGAUCCUUGUAAAGACUUUUGGUUUGGCAUAUGUAAUAAAAUAGAAUUUGCUUCCGCUUGUCGUUAAUUAAGUCCCUUUAGUCAUUUGCU